AAAAUAGUUAGAUGAUGAAAUGUUUAACCGUUUCCUUUGACUUUCUCAAAUUUAAGUUUUUGUGACAAAUGGAGCCCAAAUAAAAUGACGAAAUUGUGCUAUAUUUAAGUUUGCAGGUACUUUGAAACAGCUUAAAAUAAUAGUUCAGCAAUGUCGUCAUUGAUACAGACUGAAAGAAGGAAAAUGGAAUAUUUCAUGACGGCCAGACCAUCGAGUGGUUCAUUGGUUGGGCUUUAACAAUGCUGCUUGUGACCGAGACAACAACUUAUUUUCGUGUAGCUCGUGAAACUUGAAUGUAAUAUCUGUACAAAGAGCCGAGAACUAGGCCAACCACGCAAAUGCGCUCAAAUGAAGCGCAUUCCUGCAUUCAGACAGGUUUUUUCCCCGUACAGUAGUCACUCAAAGAACAACACUUCAUGGACCACAUUUACUCCAUCUAUUUCACUACAUGAAAAAUAUAAUUAUCGGAGGGUUUUGGAGGUAUCUUGAGCAGGCAACGAAGAAAAUUCGAGGCUGGGAAGAGCUAAGAGACGACCCUUCUCGUUAUACAACUUUUAAUUACAAUCGGUUCGAUUUCCUUUUUACUGGAGUUUCCAUCUGGAGCUUCGUUAAACACAACCGUGGAGCUGACACUCGUAACGUCCACUUAUUUUUCUCUCCGCGGCCUUUUCACGGUACUGAAUAUCCCCCUGACAUCCUUAAUUAAUGACGGAAAUACGUUGUUAGUUCUUCGAGUGGUCGAGCUCCGCGACUGUCGUUUACGUAUUAGUUUUCUCCUCCCUUCGAGACUUAUCUCAGUCAUUGCAAGCCAUUCUCACGUUCAAAUGAAGUUUAAGCUAUCUGCAGCCACUGUUUAAAUAUAUCCGUAAACUUCUCUACAUUUCAAGACUGCCAUCUAAACGUGGAUUUGAAUAGAAUAGCACAAAGAAGAUAAUUUCUUCCACUCUAAUUUCUUCCUAUUUAUUCAUUUCUUCUUCAGUGAAUUUGAAUGGACUGAGAUGAAGAUAAUUUCUUCCACUCUAAUUUCUUGCUAUCUAUUUUUUCUUCAUUUAUUACAUCUAAUUCAGAUUUGGAUAGUCAGAAUACUGUCUACUACUACUUACUUGUUGAGUAAAUAACAUGGAACUGAAACCUAUUAUUCUUUCAGUGUAGGGAGAAUUUCUUCACUUCAAAGUUGCCUUUCUUUGUUACCAAAAUAUAUGGCACAUUGAUACAUUCUGAAGAUUUUAACAGGUAUUUAUCUCAAAUUAUCAAAAAAAAAACCCGAAAAUUAAAUCACUGUUAUCAUUGAGGUAAGUAUCAUUCUUUGAGAUUUUGUUACAACUGUCUUAUAUUAAAUGUUAUAUUUAACAGCAUACUUAGUCUAUCCAUUUAAUAAUAUGAUAAAUCUAUAAUAAAUCUAUAACAACAGCCUAUCUAGUGUAUAAAUAAAAUAUGAAGAUAAUUAUUUUUGUCCAAUUUCUUUGCAGAUAUUAUCUUAAAUUGGAGAGUCCCUGUGGCUAAGCUCAGGUCUUCUAAAUAGCGUUCUGAAGUUCCUGGAAUUAAGGUGGUCUUCUAAGCUUCUUAGGAGAAGUGCAAAUGAAUAUUCUAUUUCAUGCUGAUGACCCUUUAACCGCGUUCUCAACGUCUCACGAAUCACGGCGGAUAAGAAAUUGGCAUUGUAGCGUUUAUCACCGCAUCAGCUGGUAUCUCGUACUCUCAUUAAUGAGAAUUAUGUCAAGGAAUCGUAUCGAUUAAAGCUUAGCCUAGAUAGUCGACGACGAGGCGUCGCUUCAUUGAUUUACUAUCAUACGUUGCCUACAAAUUUACCACUCAGAUGAUGUUACUUCAAAGCAUAUCUUUGUCUUCUCGCUGGGAAUGAGCGCCACUGAAAUACUUCAAGAAGUUAAAUUGAUAUAACAAGUCUGUGCUUCAUCUGAGCACAUAAUAUUUCAUAAAUAAAAUCCUCCUAAGAUAUGAGGUUCCUUAGUACGGAUUUAUUGUUCUUAGAUUCUCCUGGGCCUACCUUCUGUCUAGUUUAAAUUUAAUGUCUUAUUACCAAGGAUCAGUUCUACUUGCUAUAAGAGAUUUAUGCUUCAUUUGUGGGGAUGCAAUAUCUUGUAAAUAAAAUCUCCCGAUUUUGGUUCAACCUUUUGUCUAGUUCAACUUGGAAUAUUGCUUAUGGUCAAAGAUCAGUACUACUUGGUAUAAUAAAUCUGAACACAGUAUUUCAUAAAUGAAAUCUUUAGACGUGUACUUCCUUGAUACGUAAUCUUAUGAUGAUUCUUUCGUCUAGAUUCUUCUGGUUUUGUGUCUAGCUAAAUUUAGAAUCUUAUUUAUGAUUAUGUAUCCUGAUAUUGAAAGAAUGUUGAAGUCUGCGUUAAACUUAGCAGUACAUAUAAACAA